AGGAAUUGACAGCACCAAAUGGGGGCAUUCGGCUCAUUGUGUCCAUGCCGGCCAGAGACGGAGCUAUUUAAGUGCUUCCUAUCUCUCAAUCCAUAGUUUUAUGUGUCAUGGCUCUUCAAGUAUUCAUGCAGAGAUUAAAAGCUCAUGGCAAAGGACAUCACAUAUUGGUAUGGAUAGAAGAUUGGCUGGUCAUCAGGAAACGGAGAGUAUGCAUUAGUGGAUCUUUUUCUGAUGGCGCACCAUUUGUUACAGCAUGUCACUGGGGUUGGUGUUAGGAUCUUCCAGUGUGAUAAUUUGUUAUAAAUGACUUGAAUCAAGGAACUGAAGGCACAUGUGAAAAUUGCUCAUACACCUCUGGUUUCUUGGAGGAGCGGUGAGGACACCCAUUCGCAUGUAAAGGAGCAUCCUGCCCUCUGUGGAAGACUUGAGGGGGGAGGAGAAGAUACAUUUCAGAGGGAAACAACUGUGAACCAGCAGCUUCAGAAUCACAAUAGUUACAGCAAGGAAGGAGGGCAUUUGGCUCAUCGUGUCUGUUCCAGUUCAAUUCAGUGUUCCACAAAAGAAGCUUACAGCUUCACUUUUUGUUCUACAGAGUGAAUCAUGCCAAGGAAAGGAUUCCCUGUCCCUAUUUGGCUUGCGUUUGAAGUGCGGCAAGUAUCCAGAUUUUGGCAGUAAACAUUCAGCGUCAUGUUACGAUUUUUCCAUUUCUAGUGAGUCGCUUUGAUUUCUGAGCCAAGGGUGCGAAAAAUAUGAGUUUAUAUAUGUUUUUGUUUUUAGAUGUUAUGACUUAAAUUGCUAAAUGUUUUAAAUUUCUUCAGGGGACAUAAUAACAAAGCCAGUGACAUGUUAGUGAGGACUUUUUUAAAUUUGUUAACCAUAAAGUAUUUUUUUCUCUCUAUUCAAAUCAAAAUAAGUUUACUUAAAAUAUGAGUUAAAAUGAAUAACUGUCAUGAAUUAAAAUAACAAAAGUAAUUUGCUAUUCGGGUGUCUAUAAAAAAAAGAUGGCGAGUGAAUGGUUGUGAUCUAUCCAGGGACAAUACUGCAAUGCAGAUGUGCAUUUGAAAAUACUAAUACCACCUUUUUGGUGCUCAGAUUUUCAGAAAUUUUAAUUUAAAUUGUUUUAAAAAUAUAGAAGUAAAACCAUAUUGAACAGCAUAGAUGGUAGAAGUACAGGGAAAUUGAAAACUGCACGCAAAACAAACAUGGCUGUUCAUUGAGAUGAAUGAUCUUGUACAAUGUUAGGCUGCCAGAUUUUAUUCUAAACUGUGUUGGUUUAGUGAAAAGGAAGUGUGUAGAAACUAUUAGCUAAUUUUAUAAAUACAAACUAUGGAACCUAAAUAGAUUACAGUUUACAUAGCAUGCCCUUAAUAUAUUUUUAAUUAUAUUUUUAUGUUUUUGUUACUUUAUCACUUUCAUGGAUUAAAAACAACAGUUGGUGAAGGGGUGGGGGGGGGGGGAGGAUGGAAUUAUGCCUAAUCAACUGUUUUUCAUAACUUGAUAUGUUAUUGCACCUAAAGUAAAUUUUUGAGGAAUUGUGGAAAAUCACAUCCUGUAAGUAAAUAUAUUAUUUCUCUUAUUCUUUGAAAGAGAGGUUUCCUCUUGAAACCUUCUAUGAAUUUUCAUUUUAAAAAAAUCCAUCUACUUCAUAUAGUGAAGAAGUUGCUUGUUUUUUUUUCUUGAAGGCAUUGACUGAAUUUUGAUUUCUUAGGUUCUAAUUGUCCCUCCAGUGCAUUAGCAACUUACCUAUUUAGUUCUUUUUAGGCUCACAUGUAGUAACAGUGAGUUACUUACCAAAAAACUUGCCAGCUUAGCAGAGUCCUGACUUUACCUUUUCACGCACAAGAACAAAAUUUCAACAAAGGUUUGCUUCAGGGCAACUAAGAUUUGUUUGUUACUUUACAACCCCCAGCUAUAACCCUGCAUCAUGGUUUCAACCUGAAACAUUGACAGUUCCUUUCCCCACACAUGCUGCUCAACCCACUUGAGUUCCUCCAGCAGAUUAUUUGUUGCUCCACAUUCCAGCAUCUGCAGCCUCUUGUGUUUCUACACUUAAAUGAUGGUAGUUUACUAGGAGUCCAGUUGGAUUAAUUUGACUUUUUAUGCGAAGUACUUGACCUAAUUAUCUUGGCAACAGAUUAAUAGUUCAUAAAAUUUUCCAACUUUAAAAGUGUUUUGAAACUAACCUAAGUCUACAUUGUAAGUGAUAAUCAGUUUUUGGUACGAGGUUUGUCAAAGGAUACAUAAUAAAAUUUGCUUUUUUCUGUGUUAGCAUGGGAUGGCAACACCAGCAUAGGGAUUUUUAAAACAAAAACAUUUGUAUGUAGUGGCAAAGUUUUACACUGUUAACUAGUGAAUAAUGACUUCAGUGCUCAUUUCAAAAAAUGUUCAUGUUAAUAGUAUGUAUUUGAUGUAAUUGCUAUUAUUAACUCUUAGACUAUUUAGUUGUUAAAACAAUUACAUUUGCAUUACUGUGACUGUGAAAUAUUUUCAUAUUUCUUGAUUCCAGCAUCCUACAACAGUCCAUCAAACCCAGGUUGAUAAAGGGGAAAAUCUUGUGUGAUUCUUUUGACAGGUGCAUUCAUUUGUUUUCCUCCAUUGUAGACAGACAUCUUCUCAAUUUCUACUCGCCUUAAUGAAUUUUUCCCUGUGGAGCUUUUAGUUCAUUAUCUAAUCUAAAAAGAUAAUGUCUUGAAUUUAAUUCCAAUAGGCUGCUGCAGUUUCUCAUUUUAGGGCAAUUCAUUCUAUUUAUGAUGGUAAGAUGAGGUUUAUUCACAAGGCUUGAUGGCACUGAGUCAAAUAAGCUUGACAUCUUGGCCACUAUUGUUGAAAUAAGAGCUUUUUCAAAAAAAUUAUACAGUUCACUCUCAACUCUAGCUGUAAAUUUUCUAGAACCAUCCAGGAUUAGCCAUUAAUGUGAGGAAACUCUAAAUGGCAUCUUAGAAUGCAUUUAUGGUAAAUGUAGUUUUAACCAGUUGUGCUUUUCAGAUCUCAUUUUUGGUGAAUCUCUGAAUACAAAAAUGCUGUUGAGAUGCUCAUUCCCACCUUAUCCCAAGUACUACUUGUGACUGCAACAUAUACUGCCACUGAAAAGGGGAAGAUGUUUACUUACACAACUUUUCAGUUUAAGUAGGUUGAAUAAAUAGGAUUAAUUGAAUUCAUUAUUUUACUGCAGCAAAUAAAAAUUCACCAGUGUUUGGAAGAAAUCCUAGUGGAUUAUUAAUUUAUGGCUCAGAUACCAUAUCCCUAGUUUGUGUACCAACUACAGAUGCAUGGGUUCAGAAUAUUACUUCGAUUUAUUUUUCAUCGUGGAAGUAUACUGUAGAACUAAAAUGUAGUCACUCCUGAAUCUCACUGUAACACUGGAUUUAUUUAGAAUUUUCUGAAAGUCUUCUGACUUUGCUUAACUUCAGAUUUUUACAGGAUAAAUGUGAUUCAGAAAACAAAGCUGUCUGCAGAAGUUGAUGAAAGUAGUUAAUAUUAAAUUAAUUUCAGUUUGUUUCAUAUCUUUUGGCUUUUGGAUGGCAACUUCUUGGGUUCAUUCCAGAGGAAGGGUCUUGACCCGAAACAUCGACUGCCCAUUUUCGUCCACAGAUGCUGCCUACUCCCUGAGUUCCUCUAGCAUUUUGUUUAUAAAUUGGGCUUUAAGAAUCAAAUUUCACACUUUCCACUGUUUUCAUACAUAUCCACAGAAGUGACACUUAAAUUGUGCUUUAAACAUGGUAAGUGGCAUGAGCUGUUUGAGAAAGUAGAUGCUGGGCAAUAUUAAGAGAGAUACCAUAAACCAAAUAUAGAGAAUAGUGGAAAAUAACAAUGCAGUGGUUUGAUUGUAGAAAUUUGAUAGCCAAAAUGUGCCACACUUGAUGGAAUGGAGUUGAAAUGCAAUGAAGAAUGGUGGUGGACAUGUAUUAACAUACAGGUUUUCAUGCAUAGUGAUUGGGAUCUUGGUAUGGACUGAAUAUUUUGAAUCCAUUACAUUGUAAGUUGUUAAGAACAGCUGUGAUUGGGGAGCAGGAUAGAA